UAUUUGAUUUUCUUCGGAACUGAAGAUUUGGUGAUUGAGUGGCGGACGGGUGAGUAACGCGUGGGUAACCUACCCUGUACAGGGGGAUAACAGUCAGAAAUGACUGCUAAUACCGCAUAAGACCACAGCACCGCAUGGUGCAGGGGUAAAAACUCCGGUGGUACAGGAUGGACCCGCGUCUGAUUAGCUGGUUGGUGAGGUAACGGCUCACCAAGGCGACGAUCAGUAGCCGGCUUGAGAGAGUGAACGGCCACAUUGGGACUGAGACACGGCCCAAACUCCUACGGGAGGCAGCAGUGGGGAAUAUUGCACAAUGGAGGAAACUCUGAUGCAGCGACGCCGCGUGAAGGAUGAAGUAUUUCGGUAUGUAAACUUCUAUCAGCAGGGAAGAAAAUGACGGUAUCUGACUAAGAAGCCCCGGCUAACUACGUGCCAGCAGCCGCGGUAAUACGUAGGGGGCAAGCGUUAUCCGGAUUUACUGGGUGUAAAGGGAGCGCAGGCGGUGCGGCAAGUCUGAUGUGAAAGCCCGGGGCUCAACCCCGGUACUGCAUUGGAAACUGUCGUACUAGAGUGUCGGAGGGGUAAGUGGAAUUCCUAGUGUAGCGGUGAAAUGCGUAGAUAUUAGGAGGAACACCAGUGGCGAAGGCGGCUUACUGGACGAUAACUGACGCUGAGGCUCGAAAGCGUGGGGAGC
rnacentral:rRNA from 1 species